AAAUAAAAUGAAAGAAAUAUGAAAAAUAGAAUUAAAGAAAACUAAAAUACUACGUGUAUAUUUUUGAUAAAAUCCCAUUAUUUACUUGCGUGUCACCCAAAAUUUCUCCAGUUUCCUAAAUGCGGUCGUUUACGGUAGUAUAUUAGGAGGCCUUAAGGAAAUUUUGAUAAAACAACUCUGUGAUUCUAAAUUAGGACUAGGGUUUAAGGAUUAAUUACAGUAAGAAACACAUUAUGGAAGAGUACGAGGUUUACAUUGAUGAAAAGCUUGAUACUGUUUUGGGUCAUCUUCGUAAAGAUUUUGAUGGAGUUAUUUCUUCUGGUAAUUUGGGUCCAAGAUUUGGGGUUUAUGGUUCGUUUUUGCCAACUUAUAAGCGCCCCACACAAGAUUCAUGCUUUUCUGCUCAAGAAUCAAGUAAGUUCAUUGUAAAACAUGAAGUUUCUAUGAUUAGGUCGCUUAAUCAGAGAACACUUACUGAUUUAGGUGAAGUGUCGUCCAAAUUUAGAGAAGUUUCGGGUGAUUUAUCUCCAACAAGUAUCCUUCAUACUAUGACAUCUUUCCCAGUUGUUGGAGACAUACUGCUUUCACCUCUCCAUGAGAAGUUGUUAACUUUGUUAAGAAAUAGGAAAGUUUUCGCGAAGAUUGACAAAUAUGAUCACCAGGAAGUAAGAAGUAGUUCAGUGGAAUUUGGUGGGGCUGUCUCUCUAAGAAAGAAAGAUGUUACAAAAGUUGCAAGUCAUAAACCUGACCAAACAAGGAUGCUCCACACAAAGAAAAGAAAAUUGAGGGAUCACUUGGAUGACAAUGAUGGUAAUGCUUUUGAGAGGGAGGUUAGUAGUGAGAGUGGAUUCAGAAAGCAGAAGAAAUCGAAGGUGUAUCAGACUGAAAAAAAGGAGUGCAAUACAAGGGUGUUGAGAAAUCAAGAACGAGAGGUUCAGUUACUAGAAUUGUACCAGGAAUCAGGGAUUCUCCUCGUAUAGAUAGAAGCGUAGAGAGAGAACACCAGAAAAAGAAGUACAAAGUAAAGCUUCAGUCUCAAGCAGAAUCUGGCAUUAUCCGCAAGCAAGUUUGCAAGUUCCCGCUCAACCAGGCCCUCGGAUGUGGGAAGGAAGUGAGGACCUGCAUUGCAAUUUGGUGAAGAGGCAUGCUAGGAUAACUGGAAUUCGUUGUUCCGGCAGCAGAUCAUGAUGUCUUCUUCCCAGUUUGUGUCCGUUUUACUGCCUCAGGAACGUUUGAUGACCUGAAGGUUCGCACCUGCUUCUACACAUGACAUUGUGACCCUCGAUUUUCAGCCAUUAGAUGAUAGAUUCCUCAAAUUUGCGAAGGGACUAGGAGAAUGCUCUAAGAAUCCAUGAAAUCAUCGACAUGCGUACUGCAUAUGAUUACUCGAAACAAUUUCUGAAGAAAUUGUGAUAUAGAGAACAGAAUUUGCUUCUGAUUCUUCUCAGGGCAGCUCUAGACAAGAUUGAGACUAUGAAAGCCACAAAGCAUUAACUUGAUAGUUUGCAAAUCAGAAGACAUUAAAGCCUAAAAAAGGGCAGCCCGGUGCACAAAGCGUCACGUAUUAGCAGGGUCUGGGGAAGGGCGGCGCCGCAAGGGGUGUGAUGUAGAUAGCCUACCCUAAUGCAAGCAUUAGUGGCUGCUUCAUGGCUCAAACCCGUGAUGAUUUUGCUGGUGAAAGGGAAGAUCCUUCUAGAAAACUUAGUCUUCCAGAGCCAGAGGCAGCGCUACAAGAACUCUUAUGUAAAUUUUGAUUGUUGUUCCUUACACCAAUAAUCAGCUGAUGAAUUCUGCUCUUGUCAUUGCUCAGAUAAUGGGAAAUAGCUCUUUAAUCCUUAAGUUAAGUAUGCUUUGUUCAUUGAGCGUAUUUGAUUCAGAGAUUAGCCACUCGGAUCCUUCCACCAAUAGUUCAGAAAGCUUCCUACUUUCCUGGAAAAACUAUUCUCUUUGCCAAGCUGCUCAAAGUUUGAACUAUUAAAGCUUCGAGUUGUAAAAGGCAGCCUACAGAUGCUGGGAGCAGAUGGGUAGUUGAAGAAGCAUGGAAACCAUGCCCCAUACAUUUGGUUCCACUGUCCGUCUUCCGAUUCUGAUUUUGUGGAUGAUUCAAUAGAAGUUGCAAAAUCAUCAGUCAAUGAAAUCCCAGAAACUGAUAAAUGUGGAUGCAAGCUGGAGGCUUCUUCUGCGAUGGAACACUUAAAUGAUCCUAAAAUUAAGUGAGGAAGACGGAGGAGUCAGCUGAUAGCCAGUGUAUGAAGAAUAUGGAGAUUGAAAGGCACUUUAUCUCGGAUAAAAAUGACAACAAUGAUGCCUUUGGAAGGUUCAAAAUGGCACCUGAUGAUUGAUGGAGUCUGCAACCAAUUCUGCAGCUUGUAUAUUAUUGGCCAAUGGAAUUCGCUGGUAACUUCCAAUAUUUAAAUUUAUUUGUUUUACCUACUUAAUGUAUAUGAUUCCAUUAUCAUGCAAAACAGACAAGGCAAAUGAAUUAAUAUCAGUGGGUUGUUGUUAACAUA